rnacentral:rRNA from 1 species
UACGAAGGGGGCUAGCGUUGCUCGGAAUCACUGGGCGUAAAGCGCACGUAGGCGGAUUGUUAAGUCAGGGGCGAAAUCCUGGAGCUCAACUCCAGAACUGCCUUUGAUACUGGCGAUCUUGAGUCCGGGAGAGGUGAGUGGAACUGCGAGUGUAGAGGUGAAAUUCGUAGAUAUUCGCAAGAACACCAGUGGCGAAGGCGGCUCACUGGCCCGGUACUGACGCUGAGGUGCGAAAGCGUGGGGAGCAAACAGGG